rnacentral:rRNA from 1 species
UAUAAUAUACUUGAUCUUGACUAUCCUACUUGGAUAACUGUGGUAAUUCUAGAGCUAAUACAUGCACCAAAGCUCCGAUUUGAAGAGCGCAUCUAUUAGAUUAAAACCAAUCAGGCCUUUCGGCCUGUUCAUUGGUGACUCUGAAUAGCUUAGCUGAUCGCAUGGUCUUGUACCGGCGACGUGUCUAUCAAGUGUCUGCCUUAUCAACUUUCGAUGGUAGUUUAAAUGCCUACCAUGGUUGUUACGGGUAACGGAGAAUAAGGGUUCGACUCCGGAGAGGGAGCCUUAGAAACGGCUACCACAUCCAAGGAAGGCAGCAGGCGCGCAAAUUACCCACUCUCAGUAUGAGGAGGUAGUGACGAAAAAUAACAAGACCGUUCUCUUAGAGGCCGGUUAUUGGAAUGAGUACAAUUUAAAUCCGUUAACGAGGAUCUAUGAGAGGGCAAGUCUGGUGCCAGCAGCCGCGGUAAUUCCAGCUCUCAAAGUGUAUAUCGUCAUUGCUGCGGUUAAAAAGCUCGUAGUUGUAUAUGCGCUACAGGAUCCGGUCCGCUUUUUUAGCGAGAACUGGACUCUUGGGCUAGUACUGUUGGUUUUCCCUACGUUGCCUUCAUCGGUCGCGUAGGGUGGCUAGCGAGUUUACUUUGAAAAAAUUAGAGUGCUUAACGCGGGCUAUUGCCUGAAUAUUCGUGCAUGGAAUAAUAGAAUAGGAUCUCGGUUCUAUUUUGUUGGUUUUCUGAUCUGAGAUAAUGGUUAAGAGGGACGGACGGGGGCAUUCGUAUCGCUGCGUGAGAGGUGAAAUUCUUGGACCGUAGCGAGACGUCCGACUGCGAAAGCAUUUGCCAAGAAUGUCUUCAUUAAUCAAGAACGAAAGUCAGAGGUUCGAA